rnacentral:lncRNA from 12 species
AUGGGAAUAAUGGGACUGGGAAUAAUAGGAUUGGGGAUAAUGGGACUAAUGGGACUGGGAAUGAUGGGAUUGGGACUGGGAGUAAUGGGAUUGGGGAUAAUGGGAUAAAUGGGAAUAAUGGCAAUAAUGGGAAUUGUGGGAUUGGGGAUAAUGGGAUGGGGGAUGAUGGGAAUAGUGGGAUUGGGGAUGGGAGCUGCACUUCCUGCAGAGAGAACAGAUCCUGAUCCUGCAGCCCCCAGAGCAGCCUGGCCUGCCCUGGCAGUGGCGCUCCCGGGACGGCUCCGUCUCGCUGCCCCCCUUCACCAAUUCCCAUAUUCCCAUUCCCAUUCCCGUAUUCCCAUUCCCAUUCCCACAUUCCCAUUCCCACAUUCCCAUUCCCAUAGUCCCAUAUUCCCAUUCCCAUUCCAGGCCUCCCCUGGCAUUGGCGCUCCCGGGACGGCUCCGUCUCCCUGCCCCCAUAUUCCCAUUCCCCAAUUCCCAUUCCCGUUCUCAUUCCCGUUCCCCAAUUCCCAUUCCCCAAUUCCCAUUCCCAUUCCCAUUCCUAUUCCUGUUCCAGGCCUGCCCUGGCAGUGGCGCUCCCGGGACGGCUCCGUCUCGCUGCCCCCCUUCACCAAUUCCCAUAUUCCCAUUCCCAUUCCCGUAUUCCCAUUCCCAUUCCCACAUUCCCAUUCCCACAUUCCCAUGGAAUUCCCAGGGGGGGGGGGGGGGGGGGGGUUCCCGUUCCAGGCCUGCCCUGGCAGUGGCGCUCCCGGGACGGCUCCGUGUGCCUCCCCCCAUUCCCCAGUUCCCAUUCCCAUUCUCCAAUUCCCACUCCCAUUCCCACAUUCCCCAUUCCCAUUCCCAUUCCCGUUCUCAUUCCCGUUCCCCAAUUCCCACAUUCCCAUUCCCCAAUUCCCAUUCCCACAUUCCCAUUCCCCAAUUCCCAUUCCCACAUUCCCAUGGAAUUCCCACAUUCCCAUUCCCACAUUCCCAUUCCCGGUCUCAUUCCCAUUCCCCAAUUCCCACAUUCCCACUCCCCAGUUCCCAUUCCCAUUCCCGUUCUCAUUCCCAUUCCCAUUUCCAUUCCCAUUCCCCAGUUCCCAUUCCCACAUUCCCACAUUCCCGUUCCAGGCCUGCCCUGGCAGUGGCGUUCCCGGGACGGCUCCGUCUCGCUGCCCCCCUUCCCCAAUUCCCAUAUUCCCAUGGGGGGGGGGGGGGGGGGGGGGGGGGGGGGGGGGGGGGGGGGGGGGGGGGGGGGG